AAGUGAGAUGAUGGCAUACCAUCUUUCGGGACUGACCUGAAAUGGAGAGAAAUUCUUAACUGCUGAUCACUU